UUACGGCUCAGUAACACGUAGAUAAUUUGCCCUUAGGUGGAGGAUACCCUCGGGAAACUGAGAAUAAUACUCCAUAGAUUUAAACUGCUGGAAUGCUUUUAAAUUGAAAGAUUUAUCGCCUAAGGAUAAGUCUGCGGACUAUCAGGUUGUAGUUAGGGUAAAUACCUGACUAGCCUACGACGGAUACGGGUAGUGAGAGCUUUAGCCCGGAGAUGAUAUCUGAGACACGAUAUCAGGCCCUACGGGGCGCAGCAGGCGCGAAAACUUCGCACUGUGCGAAAGCACGACGAGGGAAUCCCAAGUGCUGGCUCGUAAGAGUCAGCUGUUUUUCUGUCUAAAAAACAGGGAGAGUAAGAGCUGGGUAAGACGGGUGCCAGCCGCCGCGGUAAUACCUGCAGCUCAAGUGGUGGCCGCUAUUAUUGGGCCUAAAACGUCCGUAGCCGGUUUCAUAAAUGCCUGGGUAAAUCGUACGGCUUAACCGUAUGAAUUCCGGGUAGACUGUUUAACUUGAGACCGGGAGAGGCUAGAGGUACUCCUGGGGUAGAGGUGAAAUUCUGUAAUCCUAGGGGGACCACCAGUGGCGAAGGCGUCUAGCUAGAACGGGUCUGACGGUGAGGGACGAAGCCCUGGGGAGCAAACGGGAUUAGAUACCCCGGUAGUCCAGGGUGUAAACGCUGCUCGCUUGAUGUUAGUCGGGCUCCGAGCCCAACUAGUGUCGGAGAA
rnacentral:rRNA from 1 species